AAGGAUCAUUAUUGAAAUAAACCUGAUGGGUUGUUGCUGGCUCUCUAGGGAGCAUGUGCACGCCUUGUCAUCUUUAUAUCUCCACCUGUGCACUUUUUGUAGACCUGAAAAGGUCUAUGUUGCUUCAUUUUACCCCAAUGUAUGUCUAUAGAAUGUUGUGCCUAUGAUAAUAUAUACAACUUUCAGCAACGGAUCUCUUGGCUCUCGCAUCGAUGAAGAACGCAGCGAAAUGCGAUAAGUAAUGUGAAUUGCAGAAUUCAGUGAAUCAUCGAAUCUUUGAACGCACCUUGCGCUCCUUGGUAUUCCGAGGAGCAUGCCUGUUUGAGUGUCAUUAAUAUAAUCAACCUUCAACUUGUUUGAGUGGUUUGGAUGUGGGGGUUUGCUGGCCUCUCAAAAGGUUUCAGCUCCUCUGAAAUGCAUUAGCAGAACAAACCUUGUUCAUUGGUGUGAUAACUAUCUACGCUUAUGAAUGUGAGGGGCAGUUCAGCUUUCUAAUCGUCUUUGGACAAUUCAUCAUUAAUGUGACCUCAAAUCAGGUAGGACUACCCGCUGAACUUAAGCAUAUCAAUAAGCGGAGGAAAAGAAACUAACAAGGAUUCCCCUAGUAACUGCGAGUGAAGCGGGAAAAGCUCAAAUUUAAAA
rnacentral:rRNA from 1 species